rnacentral:lncRNA from 1 species
AAGCUACAAACAGUCAAAGAACUUCUUCACUGUACUGUUACUCAUUGGUUGAGCAAAACUCAUUGAAAUCCAUGUAUGUUUUGACUGAACAACAAUAAAGGAGUUUAGAAUAGAUUUAAAAGAAAUUCUGCUAGCCUGAAAUUUUCCAGGCUCCCUUCCUAUGUAACAUUUAGAAAAAUCAGCAUACCUUGGCUUCCUUUGUGCUGAGGAAGAUGUAAACCACAGAUUAACAUCCCCCAAUUAACAACUGAGUAAUUUCAUAUCUGAGUUCCUCUUGAACUCAUGAGCAAAACCCAUCUGCUCAUGGAAAUUUUUAUAUUUGUGUUUCUUUUCAUUUAUCCUUAGACUUCUUCUACAAGAAAUCUAGUGUGAGGCAGUUCUGCCUUCUCCCCCACAGAGAAAGGAUCUGGUCUCAUUUGGGAGCGCACAUCUUUGAUCAGGGGUCCAUCCUGCAUUCAGAUCUCCUGCUGGCAAACAGCUUCAAAGUGGCUUUGCUCUUCCAAGGGAAUAGAGUAUCUGAACAACACACACGGAAUGAUCCACACACUUCCAGUUCUAACAAACCUACUUCUGUGCAAGCAGAGCAACUGAAACGCAGAUGAGAGACAACAUAGGAAUGUACACCUGCGACCUGCUGUACUUUUGUAUGUGAAUGCUUCCCAGUGCUUAACGUGUUUUUAAUGAAUUUGAGUGUUGGGAAAGAAGACAGAAACUUUCAAAAUCUAUCAGCCAAAACUUUUUUCCAUGUUCAUCUCAGAGGAACUAUUCCUGAAUGUGGUAUUUGGUGAUAUGAGAAAUAAGACCAAUCUGGUCUGUUGUCUCCCCUUACAUCUUAAUGUGGAAGCUAUUUGCUAAGCA